rnacentral:rRNA from 1 species
GCGCGGGGUAACCUGGCGGCGAGUGGCGAACGCAGUGAGUAAUACAUCGGAACGUGCCCUGUGAUGGGGGAUAACUACGCGAAAGCGUAGCUAAUACCGCAUACGACCUACGGGUGAAAGUGGGGGAUCGCAAGACCUCACGUCAUAGGAGCGGCCGAUGGCGGAUUAGCUAGUUGGUGAGGUAAAGGCUUACCAAGGCAACGAUCCGUAGCUGGUCUGAGAGGACGACCAGCCACACUGGGACUGAGACACGGCCCAGACUCCUACGGGAGGCAGCAGUGGGGAAUCUUGGACAAUGGGGGCAACCCUGAUCCAGCAAUGCCGCGUGUGGGAUGAAGGCCUUCGGGUUGUAAACCACUUUUGGCGGGGGCGAAAUAUCGAGUGCUAAUACCAUUCGGUGAUGACGGUACCCGCAGAAUAAGCACCGGCUAACUACGUGCCAGCAGCGGGG